rnacentral:misc_RNA from 1 species
UGUCAAUCGGGUCGGGCCGGGCUGG